AACAAGUGCAUGUGGUGGA
rnacentral:rRNA from 1 species